rnacentral:rRNA from 1 species
CCUACGGGAGGCAGCAGUGGGGAAGUUUUGGUACAAUGGGCGGCAAGCCUGAUCCAGCAAUGCCGCGUGAGUGAAGAAGGCCUUCGGGUUGUAAAGCUCUUUUGUCAGGGAAGAAACGGUGAAGGCUAAUAUCCUUUGCUAAUGACGGUACCUGAAGAAUAAGCACCGGCUAACUACGUGCCAGCAGCCGCGGUAAUACGUAGGGUGCAAGCGUUAAUCGGAAUUACUGGGCGUAAAGCGUGCGCAGGCGGUUUUGUAAGUUUGUCGUGAAAUCCCCGGGCUCAACCUGGGAAUGGCG